rnacentral:lncRNA from 1 species
AGUAUCCUAACUUCUUCACUCUUGUCCACAUUUGUCUUGGCGCUCUGGGGAAGAAGAUUUGGAGCAUCCUCUGGCUCUAUUGCUAACUACCUGUGUGACCUUGAAGAAAUGCAUUAACCUCUGUAUCUAUGUUUCCUCAAAUUUAUAUGGGGCAAUCAUUCCUAUGAUUGCUUUGAAAAUUAAAUAUGGAAGUGUCAACAAAGCAUAUGGUGGAGGAUCUGGUGCUCAAAGAAUAUUAGUUAUCUUCCUUAAGGAACUUAUAAGGACACUGCAGCCCAGAGAAGAAACCUGCAAAGGCCGUGUUCACACACUCACAAGAGAUAUGGCUGUGAUUUGGAUCCAGAUGUGAUGGGCUGACAACAAAACUCCUGUGAUACCAUGAAGUCUUCGGGAGGCAGAAUUGAAGUGAACAUGAAGUUUAGCUUAGAGAAGAAAAGAAUAAAUACAUACAAAACAUUUGAUGGUGAAUAAACAGAAAAUGGUGUAUUCAACAGAAUUUGACUCAGCAAUAAAAAUGAACCAAACUAUGGAAAACAACACCCAACAACAGGAAGAAAUCUCAAAAUAA